rnacentral:lncRNA from 1 species
AGGUACUCACUCAUUCUUUUCCCUCGUUCAAUUUCGGAUCUUGCACUUCUUAGUUGCUUUGCUUUGCUUUUUCCUCAACUGGGUUGAUCUAGGAUCUCUGUUUCCCCAAAAGCUUUUACACAAAUAUGAACUGCACUUUGUUUCUUUAGUUGCUGUGGAAUACGCAUUUGGCUUUCAGUUCUAGUCAAAAUCAUAUCCUAAUGCCCUUUCUUUUAUGUAGCUUAUGAAUAAAAAUUUCACUUCCCGGGGCCGGGGAUUUUGGAUUUCUCAUUAAACUUUGACCUUGAGCUGACUGAGAUGGGGUUUUAGCGAAUUUUGUAACUGUACUUGCUUCUAUGUAGUUUUUGUUUAUUUGUUUCUUAUAUAGCCAAUUUUGUUUGAGUAUAUGGACAUCUAUGUUAACAGGAAUUCGAACUUUGAGCAGGGGAAUUAGUCCAUCCCUUCCCCUAAAUCCAACAUGCAUGUGUGUGUGGUUAAAAAAAAUGGCACUUUUGGUUUAAUUUCUGUUUUACCGUUUUCUCUGGCUGAAUUUUUGCAUGUGUAUUACUCUGUUUGUGAAUUUCCUCUUUGGCACUAAUUCCAUUUUGUGUGUGUUGUGUAGUUUUUGAAGUAUAGAGAUGGCAGAGACAUUCCUAUUUACCUCAGAGUCAGUGAACGAGGGACACCCUGACAAGCUCUGUGACCAAAUCUCUGAUGCUGUCCUCGACGCUUGCCUCGAACAGGACCCAGACAGCAAGGUUGCCUGCGAAACAUGCACCAAAACCAACUUGGUCAUGGUCUUCGGAGAAAUCACGACCAAGGCCAAUGUUGACUACGAGAAGAUAGUGCGUGACACCUGCAGGAACAUCGGCUUUGUCUCAAACGAUGUGGGACUGGAUGCCGACAACUGCAAGGUCCUCGUCAACAUUGAGCAGCAGAGCCCUGAUAUUGCUCAGGGUGUACACGGCCACCUCACCAAAAAACCUGAAGAAAUUGGUGCUGGUGACCAGGGUCACAUGUUUGGCUAUGCCACUGAUGAAACCCCUGAAUUGAUGCCAUUGAGCCAUGUUCUUGCAACAAAACUCGGUGCUCGUCUCACCGAGGUUCGCAAGAACGGUACCUGCCCUUGGCUGAGGCCUGAUGGGAAGACCCAAGUGACCGUUGAGUAUUACAAUGACAAUGGUGCCAGGGUUCCGGUUCGUGUCCACACCGUGCUAAUCUCCACCCAACACGACGAGACUGUCACCAAUGACGAAAUUGCUGCUGACCUCAAAGAGCAUGUGAUCAAGCCUGUGAUCCCAGAGAAGUACCUUGAUGAGAAGACCAUUUUCCACUUGAACCCUUCAGGCCGUUUUGUCAUUGGUGGCCCUCAUGGCGAUGCUGGUCUCACCGGCCGCAAGAUCAUUAUCGAUACUUAUGGAGGAUGGGGUGCUCAUGGUGGUGGUGCUUUCUCCGGCAAGGACCCUACCAAGGUUGAUAGGAGUGGUGCUUACAUUGUGAGACAGGCUGCUAAGAGCAUUGUGGCAAGUGGACUUGCCAGAAGGUGCAUUGUGCAAGUGUCUUAUGCCAUUGGUGUGCCUGAGCCUUUGUCUGUGUUUGUUGACACCUAUGGCACUGGAAAGAUCCCUGACAAGGAGAUCCUUAACAUUGUGAAGGAGAACUUUGAUUUCAGGCCUGGUAUGAUCUCCAUCAACCUUGAUCUCAAGAGGGGUGGAAAUAACAGGUUUUUGAAGACUGCUGCAUAUGGACACUUUGGAAGAGAGGACCCUGACUUCACAUGGGAAGUGAUCAAGCCACUCAAGUGGGAGGAGGCCUAAGGCCAUUCAUUCCUCACCGCUGUGUGCUGGGAGUUUUUUGAGCUUUGCCCUUAUCAUAUCUAUAAUUUGUUUCAUUUAUUUUACUUAAUUCGUGUGUGCUUCUCACUUUCUCUUCCUCCUCUCCAUUCUAUUUUGUUUCUUCUAUCCUCAUAUGUAAUUUUUUUACAUGAUCAAUUAAACGUGAUACAAAAUUAUUCUUAAUUAGCACGUGUCCUUGUUUCUAGUCCCUUUACUUUUGAAUGUCUAUGUCUACACAUACAUAUAGGACGUUUUACUUUUAUAUGUGUGUCAGCUUGGUUGGAAUUCUGUGGUAUCCGUUUAUCAGUUAGUUCAGGUGCACACAAAUGCGACAAUUAGUUGGUAAAACUGCAAGAGAUUUUGCAAAUAUCAUACAAAUAAUAACAAUAAAUAGUUUGUCGUUUUCAUGCUGCUGGUUUGAUCUUCGCAGUUCACACUGAUCAAACUAAACAACGGUGUUUGGUAAUAUUCAACCUUCUCUCUUUCAAACCUUACUACUAACCUCGUGCGUUGGGUAACAUUAGGCUUCCAACUUAUCUGUUUUCUUUGCCAUAACUUGUUGCCAAAGAGUGUUUGUUCAUAAUAAGUGUUGGAGAUAUAAGAGUGUUGGAAAAGUUUAUUUGCCAUAACUUGUUGCCAUAAAGAGUUGAAGUAACCUCUUGAUAGGAAAAUGGCUCAAGACAAGCUGUGAAUAGAAGUCAGAAAACAAGCAAAUGAAGUAGAGUAAGUGGAAUAAACAAAGUCCAAUAGUUUAGUGAACUUAUAAUCAUGUUGAGAAUGAGAAGGAUCCACCCUCACAAAAAAGGUUAUUGCCUAAUUAAUAGUAGGGAUUGAAGAAGUAUCAAUAAUCAAUAAGAGGGACAUUUGGAUUGACACAAACUAUUAGUAUAAAAAAAAAAUGUAAAACUAAAUGGACAACAAUCUAAGAAAGCGAGUAUGUGUUGUACUCGGAAAACAUAACAUAAUGUGAUUUUGAUUGUGGAAACUGAAAACAAUAACAUUUAAGUUUUAUUUAUCUCUUUGCCUAACAAUUUUUUUAAUUACUUUUUUUAUAGUUUUUAUGAUGAAGAUAAUUAAUAUUUUUUACAAAUAUUAUAUUUUCCUUUUUACCAUCUUUGAAGAUAAUUGCUUUUUUUUCCAAUUUAGACAAAUAUUUGAGUAUCAAUGAUAUUCCUUUUUAAUCCAUUAUUGCAAUUUAAAAGACCAUCAAUGAUUACAUUUUCAAUCAAAUGACUUUAUUAGUCUUCACUUUACAUCGAUUUAAAUCAAACUAAUAAUUUUGUAUGGACUAAAUCUCUGAACAUUUUUAUAUUUACAACAUAUUUUAACAUUUAUUAAAUAAUUAGUAUUUAAUACUAUUAGUAGAAUAAUGGGAGUAGCAGGAGGGAGGCACUGAGAGAAUAGAGAUGGCAUGGAAGUAAGCAAUCAAGUCAAAAUCAGAGUUGGCCAACCCCAAAGGCUGUAGUAGGUAAGCAUGGCCCAUUUUAGUUUUUACAUUCAUCUCUCAUUUUCACCUCAACGGUUCAGAUUCAAUCUGACUCCCCGAUCUCAGCCGUGGAUUCAAAUGCCACCUCAGGCACAUGCAAUUCCAAAUGGAUGAACCUAACCCACAAUCUAAUCUUGUUACUUAGGGGCUUUUCCGUCAUUAAAUGACACCACCUACCCCCUUCUCCCUAUAAAUGGCAACUCAAUGCCCCCCUUAGAACUCGCAGCGCUUGAUUUGAGGCCAGGCAAGCCCCACUCAACCACCACACCUCUCCUCGUUCACGCUACCCCUUUCUGCUCUUCUUCUACCUUUCAAGGUACUCUUCUUUCCCUCUGUUGCUGCAACCUUCUCUUUCUUUAAGAUUGCCUCAAUUUCGGAUCUUGCACCUCUGGGUUGCUUUGCUUUGCUUUUUCCUCUACUGGGUUGAUUUCUGUUUCCCUAAACCGGUUUAGACGAAUGUGAACACUACUUCUUUUGUUUAAUUACUCUGGAAUACGUGUUAGGCUUUCAGAUCUAGUUGAAAUCGUAUUGCACUUUUAGGGGGAGUUUGGAUUUCUAAUAAGAAAUUGACCUUUUGCUGAGAAUUGGUUCGGUGAUUAGAGGGUUUCCGUAAAUUUUUGAAGUUUUACAUGCUUGUAUCUGUUUAUUUUUGUUUCUCACAUCUAUUAUUGUUAGGUGAAGGAAAUUAUGUAUUGAGAGUCUGUCUGAUACUAAAUAUAAACACCUCAAUAGGGGCUCUAACACUGAUUUUAUCAUUUGCUGCUUGUGUGUAUGGUUAAAGAAAGGCAAUUGUGUUUUAAUUUUCUGCAAGCUUUCGUUUGCUGAAUUUUAUGCAUAUAUUUUCCUCCCUUUUGUGAACUUCCUUUUUGUAGUUCUAAUUCCAUUUUUGGUGUCUGCAGUUUUAAAAGUAUAAAGAUGGCAGAGACAUUCCUAUUUACCUCAGAGUCGGUGAACGAGGGACACCCUGACAAGCUCUGCGACCAAAUCUCCGAUGCUGUCCUCGACGCUUGCCUCGAGCAGGACCCAGACAGCAAAGUUGCCUGCGAAACAUGCACCAAAACCAACUUGGUCAUGGUCUUCGGAGAAAUCACGACCAAGGCCAACGUUGACUACGAGAAGAUAGUGCGUGACACCUGCAGGAACAUCGGCUUCGUCUCAAAUGAUGUGGGACUGGAUGCCGACAACUGCAAGGUCCUCGUCAACAUUGAGCAGCAGAGCCCUGAUAUUGCUCAGGGUGUACACGGCCACCUUACCAAAAAACCUGAAGAAAUUGGUGCUGGUGACCAGGGUCACAUGUUUGGCUAUGCCACUGAUGAAACCCCUGAAUUGAUGCCAUUGAGCCAUGUUCUUGCAACAAAACUCGGUGCUCGUCUCACCGAGGUUCGCAAGAACGGUACCUGCCCUUGGCUGAGGCCUGAUGGGAAGACCCAAGUGACCGUUGAGUAUUACAAUGACAAUGGUGCCAGGGUUCCUAUUCGUGUACACACCGUGCUAAUCUCCACCCAACACGACGAGACUGUCACCAAUGACGAAAUUGCUGCUGACCUCAAAGAGCAUGUGAUCAAGCCUGUGAUCCCAGAGAAGUACCUUGAUGAGAAGACCAUUUUCCACUUGAACCCUUCAGGCCGUUUUGUCAUUGGUGGCCCUCAUGGCGAUGCUGGUCUCACCGGCCGCAAGAUCAUUAUCGAUACUUAUGGAGGAUGGGGUGCUCAUGGUGGUGGUGCUUUCUCCGGGAAGGACCCUACCAAGGUUGAUAGGAGUGGUGCUUACAUUGUGAGACAGGCUGCUAAGAGCAUUGUGGCAAGUGGACUUGCCAGAAGGUGCAUUGUGCAAGUGUCUUAUGCCAUUGGUGUGCCUGAGCCUUUGUCUGUGUUUGUUGACACCUAUGGCACUGGGAAGAUCCAUGAUAAGGAGAUUCUCAACAUUGUGAAGGAAAACUUUGAUUUCAGGCCUGGUAUGAUCUCCAUCAACCUUGAUCUCAAGAGGGGUGGAAAUAACAGGUUUUUGAAGACUGCUGCCUAUGGACACUUUGGAAGAGAAGACCCUGACUUCACAUGGGAAGUGGUCAAACCCCUCAAGUGGGAGAAGGCCUAAGUAAUUCAUUCCACUGCUCUAUGCUGGAAGUUUUUUGAGCGUUGCCCUUAUAAUAUGUCUAAUAUCCAUAACUUUCCACGUCUCUUACUCUGUGUGUUUCUCUCCUCUUCCUCCUAUUUUGUUAUUUGUAUGUUCUUUUGUAAUUUUUUACGUGAUCAACUAAAAACAUGUACUCUCUGUUUGUAUGUAUGCCCUACCAAUGUGUCUCUUAAUAUCAAUAUCAAAAAGAGAGUGUUCAAGUUAAUGUUUGGAUUCCAAUGCUUCUCUCGAUGAAGUUCGAGCUGCAAAUUUGGUCAUAUGAUAAAUGCUAGGCAAGUGUGUUGUUGUAUACAUAAAAACUGCUAAAACUAAGGUGUUAAAUAUUACUGGUCAUGUAAGAUAUUGUUUUCUAAGUUUAUAGUUAGUAGUAAAUAAUAGUUACACUAUUAAACAAAGUAAAACCUUUCAAAAAAAGAAAACAAAGUAAAUCAUAUUUUAUGUCACGUCCUCCAGAAACAAAGCUACUGGCAUCUUUUACUUGCUAAUUAUUGUAGUAUCUUGUUAUGUUGCUUUUUGUUUACCUUCCCGUCUUCAUCACCAUUGGUAUUGAGAAAACAAGUUUGAACAAUGUGCACAUUUCGAGAACAAGGACAACUUGAUUAAGUGCUGUGUCAAAGUUCAGUGAGUAAUAAUUGAUUAUUUCUCAUUUAAUUUUAUGAUUUAUUUUUUGUCCAAAAAAUAGGAAGUCUUCUCUAACAUUUGUUAAUCUAUUGAUUGGUACACCAUCGUGCUGCUAUGGCCCCUAUAUAUCUUACUUUUUCUUUUUCUUUUUUUUUUUUCCGUUUACAGAAAAACUUAUUGAAACAAAACCAUAAUACUAGUCUUUAGGAUUUGGCUAGGGAGGAAUAGAAUAUUGAAAAAAUGGUAAGCAACAAGACUAUAAAAUAUAUAUUUUCAAAUGAGCAAUAAAAUAUAUAAAUAUAUGAAAUUAAUUCUAAACUUAAAUCAAAAAAUAAUUAUUUAUAAUUAAAAUUUUAACAUUUACUUUCCUAAUAAAUUCAUCAUUUAUGAGCCUUUUAAUUACUACAGUAUGUUAGAUAGUAUCAAACACUAUUAUUCGAACCAAAAAACACUAUUAUUGUACAAAUAAAUAAUGCGACAAAAAUAGAAAAAAAAAUUACAUAAAUUGUUAUAUACUUUUAUUAUAUGAUCAUAAUAUUUAAUUUAGACAAGUUUUGAUAUAUAUAAUUGCUUAAAAAAUUACUGUUCUAGAAAUAUUCCAUAGCAUUCAUAAUUUCAUUUUAUCUUUCUUUAUAUGACAUCAUAUUAUUUAUCAUACUAUAUCUCUUUCUCACAUUAAGUGUAAAAAAAAGUUAAAAAAUCUCCACCAUUAAUUUUUGAAUUUAGACUGUGAUUGCAACUUACACUUUGUCCUCAAUAGCUCCCUCCCCCUUCGAAAAAAGAAACUACAACGAGUCAUUUGGACUAUCCAUAUAUCUGAGUCCGACAACCAACGUU